rnacentral:rRNA from 1 species
CGCUGGCGGCACGCCUAACACAUGCAAGUCGAACGAAGUAGCAAUACUUAGUGGCAGACGGGUGAGUAACAUGUAGGUAUCUACCCUUUGGCCUGGAAUAACACGAGGAAACUUGUGCUAAUACCGGAUAAGUCUUUACAGAGAAAGCUUUAUGCACCAUUGGAUGAGCCUGCACUUGAUUAGUUUGUUGGUGGGGUAAUGGCCUACCAAGACUUUGAUCAAUAGCUGAUUUGAGAGGAUGAUCAGCCACAUUGGGACUGAGACACGGCCCAAACUCCUACGGGAGGCAGCAGUGGGGAAUCUUGCACAAUGGAGGAAACUCUGAUGCAGCGAUGCCGCGUGAGUGAAGAAGGCCUUUGGGUUGUAAAGCUCUUUCGUCGGGGAAGAAAAUGACUGUACCCGAAUAAGAAGGUCCGGCUAACUUCGUGCCAGCAGCCGCGGUAAUACGAAGGGACCUAGCGUAGUUCGGAAUUACUGGGCUUAAAGAGUUCGUAGGUGGUUGAAAAAGUUGGUGGUGAAAGCCCAGAGCUUAACUCUGGAACUGCCAUCAAAACUUUUCAGCUAGAGUUUGAUAGAGGAAAGCAGAAUUUCUAGUGUAGAGGUGAAAUUCGUAGAUAUUAGAAAGAAUACCAAUUGCGAAGGCAGCUUUCUGGAUCAUUACUGACGCUGAGGAACGAAAGCAUGGGUAGCGAAGAGGAUUAGAUACCCUCGUAGUCCAUGCCGUAAACGAUGUGUGUUAGACGUUGGGAAUUUAUUUUCAGUGUCGCAGUGAAAACGAUAAACACACCGCCUGGGGAGUACGACCGCAA